rnacentral:rRNA from 1 species
AUUGAACGCUGGCGGCAGGCCUAACACAUGCAAGUCGAGCGGAGCGGCCGACGGGCGAGUAAUGCCUAGGAAUCUGCCUGGUUGUGGGGGCUAGCUUCCGGAUACGGGCGCUAAUACCGACUACUAUCCGAUGAACCUAGGUGGGAUUAGCUAGUGGGUGGGGUAAAGGCCUACCAAGGCGACGCUCCGUACCUGGUCUGAGAGGAUGAUCAGUCAAACUGGAACUGAGAAACGGUCCAGACGCCUACGGGAGGCAGCAGUGGGGAAGAUUGGACAAUGGGCGAAAGCCGGAUGCAGCCAUGCCGCGUGUGUGAAGAAGGUCUUCGGAUUGUAAAGCACUUUAAGUUGGGAGGCGUUACCAACAGAAGAAGCACCGGCUAACUUCGUGCCAGCAGCCGCGGUAAUAC